UACGGAGGAUGCGAGCGUUAUCCGGAUUUAUUGGGUUUAAAGGGUGCGUAGGCGGGCUUUUAAGUCAGCGGUAAAAAUUCGGGGCUCAACCCCGUACUGCCGUUGAAACUGCAUCCCUUGAGUGCGCGAGAAGUAUGCGGAAUGCGUGGUGUAGCGGUGAAAUGCAUAGAUAUCACGCAGAACCCCGAUUGCGAAGGCAGCAUACCGGCGCCCUACUGACGCUGAGGCACGAAAGUGCGGGUAUCGAACAGG
rnacentral:rRNA from 1 species